GGGAGUGUCUUUACUGAGGAGGAAACACCCGUUCCCAUUCCGAAUACGGUAGUUAAGCUCCUCGAGGUCGAUGGUACUGUAGUGGUAACGCUACGGGAGAGUAGAUAGGUGCUCCCU
rnacentral:rRNA from 1 species